UCCAAUAAAACAGAGAGAGAGAGAGAGAGAGAGAGAGAGAGAGAGAGAGAGAGGCUGUCCCUUCCCUUCUGAGUGGUGGCACUGAGAAGCAAUGUCCUUCUCUGAGAGAUUUAGAAUUAAAAAGGAGCAGCAGACACUCAUUCCAAGAAGGGAGGACCUGGUUUUUCCCAGGCUGUCCUUGAGGCUGGGGGAAGGGAAAAGGCUGCUGUCCUGUGCUGGCUUGACUCCCUCUCUAAUGAAUACCAUCUGGGCCUUCAAGCAUUUUUGUGUGGUGGAAGUGUUCUGUUGCCCAUGCUCACCCACCCUGGGCUCAGACACAGUUCUCCAUUCCAAAGACCCAUUGCUAUAGACAUGUAUCCUCUGGGAGGCAGCGGGAGCAUCCACACAACUGGGUGUGGGUGAUUCAUUAUUCCACCUGUCUGGACCCCAGGACACAUCAGGAAUGUAAUCUGUUGCCGCUCCUGAUAGCUAUUGUGAAGAUGGCUUCACUCAGUCCUCGUAAGGUGGUCUCUCCUGAUAUUAAGCCCCAAACAAAUGAGGAGACUGGGCAAUAAAGCAAGCUUCCUCCUUACACAUUUUUCAGAAGCUGGUGGGCUCCAUGUGGACCAUCAAGGGGCCAUCAAAGUCUCAAAUAGGUGCCAGGACUGUGACAGACACCAGAGUGGCCUAGAGAUGAGGCAAACACACAAUAUUUGACUAGGGCUGGGCUUAGAAUUAUGGAAGACCUUUCACUAGGUAGGUAGAGCAAUUGGAGAGCUAAGGUAGUAGUUGGCCUGUCUCUGAACAGAAUGUGCCUUCAUGGAAGAUGUGUGAGCAUCUAGAGCCAGCAGGUCCUAAGACAUGGUAUAUUCUGGGAGUCUGGGAAACACAUCCCUGCCUGUAACUUGAGUUGGUUACCCUGUGGUAGAACCCAGGAACUGUUUUAUAAUCUUUGUUCGUGCUUCUACAGUGAGUCGGGGUUAAGAAUCAGAGAGCUACCUCCUGGCUCUAACGCUACUAAGUCACAGGAAAAGAAGCAAUGCAGCACACAGUCGUCAUUGAGUGAUGACAGCUCACCUCACUGUGAUCAAAUAGCUGACAGAAGCAAGGAUGCAUUUUGACUGACAGGGAAGGCAUACUGGAGUUCAUGGCCACUGUGGGAUCAUGCCGUGGGUGGAAGCUUGCCACAUCUUAUUGAAGCAAGAAACAGAAAUAAGACAUAGAAAGAGGACCAAGCUCAAACCCUCAAGCCCCACCCAUAAUGUCAGCUAAGCCUCAUGCCCCCAAGAUUCUAUAACCUCUGCGAGUGGCACUGCCACCUGGGAAACAAAGGUUCCAGCAAGCAUGUAAGCCUUACCUAGGAAAGGGGGAAGCAUGAGAAAAAUGGUUUGUGUGAAAUUAUUAAAGGAUGUGUGGUGGGUGUGUGUGUGUACCUGUGUGUGUGUGCCUGUGUGUGUUUGGGAGGGCAGUCAUCCUGGGAGGUAUAGGUAGGAAGUGGAAAUGUGUUGUCUCUUCCUUGUGUGACAAUGUGACCCACCACAGUCCAGUGAGGACAGAAGGCCCAUGGUCACUUAGCAGGGUGUGUAGUUGAUCCAGGCUAGAAGGGAAGCCAGUGCUCCUUGUGUCACAAGGAGACACACACACACACACACACACACACACACACACACACACGGACACACACACACACGGACAUGGACACGGACAUAGGGAAAAGGGAGUCUUUGCUCUUGUGUGCUCCAAGGGCCAGGUGGCCGCAAAGCCAACUUGGAGCCCUCUGCUUGGGAGCUCCAUCUCCCUGCCCUGAUGUCGGCUGUCCUGCCCUAGAGGAGUGCCUUCUGCAUGGCUGGCACAGUGCCUUCCUUGCUGUCAGAAUGACUCAGAUCCCCUCCUGGCGCUCGCCUGCUCAGGCAGCACAAGCUGUUCCUUUGGCUUGUGGAGAUGGAGCCGCAUUUCUCUCUCCAGGACGGAGGCCAGGAAGAGGGGUGGAUGUGUGUCGACCCUCUUCCCCUCUCCCUCUCCAGGCACAGGGGUGGAACAGGAAGACAGGAAGGCUGCAUGACAGGCACUGCAUGGCUUCAGUUUACUCCCCAUGUAACUGCCUAGCUGGGUCUGGCCUUGCUCAGGGCAUGCACAGCAGGACACCAGGCAUUCGGCACAAGCAACUAGGCGAGGUGGCACUUGAAUGGGAGACUUUCCUGAAAAGUUAGCAAUACUGGUGGACAGGGAACAUUGACAGCGACUGUCGGGAUGUGACAUAACCUAAGGUCAUUCUGCACAGAGAGGAUUUGGGCAACGUGUUCACAAGGCAUCCUACAGCCUUUGCAUGGCCGUGGGACCAUGGUUCCUUAGCAAUCUCCAGGGAGCAGCUUCUCCCACCCUCCCUCCUAUCCCCUCUCCCUCUUUCCCUUCCUUUAUAGAAUUUUGAACUUGGAGAUGCCAAGUCAAACGCAGAAGGUCACAUAGAUGUUGAAGGGCAGAGCUGAAAACCCAAACCAAGUCUUGGGUUUACUUCAUUUUCUUUUGAUGGUGUUAGGGAUGCACCCCAGAGCCCGUGCUCUGCUGCUGAGCUGUCUGAGCCUGGUCUUUUGAGUUACAAAUUUUUAACAGAUCCUGUGCUUGCAAGAGUGUUCGUGCCCUCUCAGCUAUUAGCACUCAUCUUAUGUAACCUGUCUUUGCAAUGUCACAGGAUGACUUUGGGUGCUUCAUGGACCAUCCGCACUUUCAAAGGGUAGCAUAUAGGUAACUAGGCAGUGGGAGGCCCCAAGGCUGAAAGACUGGCCACCCACCUGGAUGAUGUUUCCUCUGUCCUUGAGAUGAAAUAGAUUGUGCCUAGCCUAACAUACGGUUUUAGACUGAACCACACAAAAUCAGCAUUUUUGAUGGUUAAGAAUGGUCACCUCAUGGUAAUAUUUUAGAGGCUAACCUAAUACAGUAAAGGUUCUAAAUAAUAUGGCCCACGACUUGAGAGGAUCUAGAGGCUCGGGGCUCAUAGUUUCAUAACAGACACAACUCCAGGAAGUGUGUGUGUGUGUGUGUCUGUGUGUGUGUGUGUAAUUGUGUUGAGAGUGUGGCCUCAGGGUUAAAGAGCCCUAGCUGGAAGCUUUGAUUUUGUUCUCUACCUGCUCUGUGACCUUGAAUGAGUCACUAAUCUCUCUCUACCACACAAAUUUCUCCUCAGGAGAACAAGAAUAAUAACAUACUCACCUCAUGGAGUUGUGGAGAUUAUGUAAGUCAGUGAAGGCAGAGGCUUUGGGGUGUGUGGUAGAAAGAGUGCUGUCACCUCCCCCUGCUGCUAUUAUACAGGUUCCUAAUAUUGCCACAUCUCAGAUGGAAGCGUACGAGUGUGCUCUUGCCAUAGAGUAGAAUCUUCUGUUGCCUACAGUCCCUGGGUCAGGGGGAAGCUCCCAGAAAAGCAUCACCUGUGCUCUCCAAAUACAUCACAGCUGGGGACGUGAGGGGAGGCGCUUACCUUCAAACCCUUCACAACAGGCUAGAGACGUCUGGAGUGGUUCAGGGGCCGAAUGACCCAUUCACAGGAGCUGCAUAGCAGAUAUCCUGCACAUCAGGUAUUAACAUUAUGAUUCAUAACAGUAGCAAGAUGACAGUUAUGAAAUAAAAAUGAAAAUCAUUUUAUGGAUGGGGGUCAUCACGCCAUGAGGAACUGUAUUAAAGGGUCACAGCGUUAGGAAGGUUGAGAACCACUGCCCUUGAGAAACUAUACUCAGGGGCUAGUUCUCUCUUCUGAAGGAAAGGCCCUCGUAAGUAUCUGGAUGAGAGGCAGCAGGCCGAGCCUGAGCCUCCCAGGCCUUUAUUUCCCAGCUUGCUGGACUGGGUAACGCUCUCACCUAGAUUGUCCAAGAAGGGGAGACCCAUGAAUAGUACCUCCUUACCUCAACAGACGAGAACCCCUGAGUCAACAUGGAGCUGCAGUUCAUAGAAGCCCAUUGCUGAACUACUACUAGUCCAGGGGUCCCCAGAACCUCCUCACUAACAUGAUUCAUGGGGCCCCGUGACAGCUGUCAUACUCCUUUUGAUGGUAUAUUAUAGGAAAUGGGCUAGGGUUGAUCAGCCACAGAGACACUCGUGGUAGAACCCAAUGAGAGUUCUGAACAUGGAACUUCUAAGUGUUUGCUCCUUUGACUCAGGGUAGCACAACCUUCCUGAUGUCAAUGCAUGAUGACACAGGGGGACUCUAAGGACUGACAGCAAGCCACUUUGGUGUCCAAGCAUUUCAUCCAUGUUCCAACCACAUGAGCACAGGUGACCUCUUGUGUGGCUCAUAUCAGUCUGUAGCAACCUCCCCCCUCCCUGUACAAUGUAAACGGACACAAUGUGACCUCCAAAUUCCUCUUGACAUAACACUGUUGCUAGGGCUCAAAACCCACACCACCAAUCAUACCCCAGUUCCCCAAAGCAAAGAUCUACAUGACAGUGGGAUAUUCCAAGGGCUUCUUGAUUUCCUCAUAGAAACCGCAGGUGAAGUCAGAGAUCUUUGGGGAAAGGUCAGAGUUUUAACUACACACAUAGGCUCUGGGGACACAGCUGUUCAGGGAGUUCACAAUCUAUGGGAAGAGAAGAUCAGGACAUCAGACCCUAUGCUGGUGGGGUUGCACAACUGCUCAUGACCACCAGGGGGCGCUUCAGUGAGACUAGGCAUGGCUGGUCAGGUAGGAAGCUCACUAGCUCCAUGGGUCCCGAGGACUUCUCCAGGCAGCAUCCUCACUGACUCUGGGGAUUCAGGGAUCGAUGAGUAGGGAGGACAACUGAACAUCAGGGAAACAUUGGGGUGUUCGUAUCUCAAGAAUGAUGGGACAGCGAAGCUGACCAAGAGCGACUGAGUAGGGACAACCGUUUAUGGACAUGGUUAUGCAAAUCACCAGAGACCUGACCAUAAACCACCUAUUGCUUCUGGUCCUCAUUUGGAGACUGCUUUCUCUAGUGACUGCAGCACAGUAUCUCUGAGUUCAGAGAAUACACAAGUGUUCUUUUGCUCUGAGGUUGUAGGCCACUGCCCUGGCUGCAUUUGCAGUGAGAGGGAGGGGUGUCCUUGGUGUCUUUCAUGCCCAAGCCAUUUGGCUACAUGAUCUCCACCUUUGCCUAUUGCAGUCUCUCACCAUUUACAGGGGUUAUCUCCCUCUGUUCUUGACCUUGACGGAAACCUCGAUGACGAAUGGUCCUUUAGCCUCCUUUCAUACAGAUAUUUCAUAUUCUGUGGUUGGCCCUCAUCUCGGAGCCCUUGGGGAUGAGAAAACUAAUUAGGAGCAAUGGUGGCAGCUGCCAGCCUACAGAGUGGGCCUUCUGGGAGAUCUGUUAAGUGUCAAUGAACUAUAGAUACCACAUUUCAGUGUGUCUCUCUGCAAUGGUGGCCAUGAUUUUGUGCCCUACCAAUUUUCAUGAUCUGACUCCACAUCACCCUGAGAUUCUUUGUGGGGAAGGGGCGGGGGAGGGGGCAUGGGAAGGGGCAGGAACAGGGACACACACACACACACACACACACACACACACACACACACACAUGUAUUAUAUAGACAACAAUGAAAUGACUGGAUUUCUGGUUUUCCUGCCUCUGCCUUCCAUGAGCUGGAAUUACAAAUAGGCACCACAGUAGCAAGCCUGUGAUUUGGUUUUCAAAAAUACAUCUUGGUGUCAGUGUAUUUGACUCAGAGAAUCAAGAAAAAGAAAACUUGGCUCCCGCAGUUCACAAGAAUUCACUGAAAAAUUAUCAUAAGGCUGGCACACCAGGGCACCGGGAAUUCAAAGCCACCCAGGCAAGGUCAUAGAACCUAGAAAUACAAUUCAGUAGAGGAGAGAGAGGCAUUAAAUAAUUAACCAAGUGACUGAUACUGGGUUGGGGGCUGGGAAGGAGAGAUAAAGAAUUGACUCUGUGCUCAGGAUCAGAGAGGGGUCCCAGGGAAGGAGCUGUUUCAGGCAGCCGUUGAGAGAAUGCAAGAGCUGUGCAGCUGGAGAAUGAGAAGAGUUAUUCCAGGCAAUGGCAGAUGCACACACAGAAACAGGGAGGUGUGAGAACGCAUGGCACUCACGGAAGACACAUCAGAGCCAAGGCCGCCACCCACUGCUGUGCCAGCUGUGCACUGCAUAACUCCAGGGGAGGCCAGGGUCCCAGACUAAGAUGUGAGCAGCACAGAUGCUAAGAUAGCUUCACAGUCACCGGUCCUAAGGAUGAUGCGUGGGAAAGAGUCCUGAGAAAGCCUGCUUCCGUUGCUUCUGUUGCCUUCGCUGUCAUUGUACAACUGAGCCACUAGGCACACUAGUGGAGCAGCUCUUGAGGUCUGCCCAUAGCUCUGCUGUGCUUGCUGACUCUGCACAAAGGGCGCCCCGAGGAACUGGGCUAGCAAUGACCAGCCGGGUUGUCUGGGGGGCUUCUCAGCAGUAGUUCGUGUUUCAGUGGCAGGUGGUGGUUGACUAGAGAGCCUCCACCCAUCAUCUUUGGCAUUUUGGGGUGGAAGGACACAGUACUGACCAUCUAGCUAAGGAAUGGGAAACUGAGUUUCCAGAAGAAGAUGCCCCCUCAAAGCCAAGAGCUUCGUAGUUUCUGAGCCUUGGCAAGAAGCUCAGUCUCCUUGGAAUGUAUUGUCUCAGCUCUAGUGAUGGACAGCCUUUGGAAUCUCAGCGGAUUGGGAGUUCAUUCUUACCACAGCCCCAUGCAGGCUGGGGGUCUAUUCUGGAUGCAGUGCAGGGGGGAGCAGGGGGCUCUUGUGUUUUGGUUGGGAUAAUGCAGAAAAGUUGCCCACUCUUAAAAGCCAUGGAUGGGAAGUCACAACAAGUCUCAGUGAUGGGAAGACUCCUACAAUAUAGGGGCGUGAGAUGCAGGAGAUGCAGUCAAGCUAUAGGUCAGGAAUCUGGGAUAGACUUAGAGCAUCCCACAGACCCAGCCACGGUCAUGAUUGUGCAGUCGUCACUGACACUGGCAAUGCAGUGACAAUCAGCUGCUCUCUACAUGAGCCCUCCAGUGUCCCUCCUCAUGGUCCCUCCCACAGGGGAAAGCUGAGAUUUGGAGAAGGCUUCAAACUGUCCAGGUCAUUGCAAAUGUACAGGUUCAAAAGGUAGACACUAUGUGAGUCCAGCUCUGAGGGAGCGCUUUCUCCCUGUGGGUGUACAAGGAAGGAUCUUCAGGUUGGUGACAUGCCUCUCAUUGGAUGGUGCUCCUGGUACAGCCUCAGAACAAAUGGUCUUGGUGGCAGAUGAUGAGCUCACUGGGACUGUAGAGGGCAGGGUAGAGGAGCCCAGCUGUCACUCUGUGCAGUUUCUGUCAGUCACGCUGACUUCUCACUUGCCAGAAAAUUGUUUAUUGUUAUUAACAGAGAGCCAUCGCUUAGAUUUAUCUGUGAGUGAGGUGUGUGUGUGUGUGUGUGUGUGUGCGUGUGCACACACACACAUUUAUAUGCAGUUUGGUUUCCACUGUCUCCCCUGAGGUAGAGAACAGAAACUAGUAUUUCUUUCUUUCUGCCUCCGGGCAUGUAGGUUUCAUGACCUGGGUUGAAGGUAUUGCUUUGAAUAGAGAUGCCAAUGCAGAUUUCCUUCCUAGAAUCUCUCUCCUAGGAUCCUGGAGAUCAUCUGAUUCCUCCAGAUCUCGAGCCCCUCCCCACCUUUCUACAGGAGGCUGGGCUCUUUCCUGUUUCUUCUGUUACAACCCCCCAAAGUUCUGACUCAGCUCCAACACACAAUCUACACAGCCUGCCACAAACAUGUCCUGGAGACAUCUUAGGAGUGACACAGAGACAUGGGAGACUCUACUCAGACCCACCCCAAACAUGGACGUAUAGCUGGUACGGUUUCUGUCUACCAGCUCCUAGUUUGCAGAUACAAAGUUGAAUAUCUCUAGUAUUCAUGUUUUAGCUUAGCCCUGGGCUCCCAUCUCCUAACUCUUAAGCCCUUUUAACCAGUAGCCUUGAUUCCAGUAUGGAAACGUCAGAACAUCGAAGACACAUUUUCUUAAAUAAUAAGCACAUUGAGGUUUCCAGAGCCUUUUGGUGAGAGCUAGGUACUCUAGUUGUGGGAGCAACCAAUAAGAAUCUUUAUCCGCCUCCCUUCCACGCCUCAGGACGACAUGAGGUGAGUUACUGUGUGACAACACCUGAUUACUCACGGUAACUUGUUUCUUUUCCUGUAGCUGUGAUAAAAACACCCUGACCCGAACAACUUCAGAAACGAUCACUUUGGCUAGCAUUUUGAUGCUCAGUCCAUUAUGUCAGGGAAGAUAAGCUGCAGGGGCUUGGUGAAACAGGGUGCUCACAUUGAACCCAUAGCCAAGAAGCAGAGACCGUUGCGAUGCUCCUGGUCUCCAUUUUAUACUGCCUGAGGAGGGGUCUGGCUCCCAAUGAAUGCAGGCUUUCCCCACAUGAGCUGAUGUAGUAAGAACAAUCCGAUAGCUGAUUUUAGAUUUUGUCAAGCUGACAAAUAACACAUUGCCAAGGUCAGAGGUGACUUGAAGAUCUCUCUCUCCACCCAGGAGCACAGGCCAGUGACCACUGGGGUUUCUGGCUUUCAUGGUCAUGCCAUUAGUGACAAUAUGGCAGCUUAGCGCCAGUGACUGCAUGAGCACACAGUUGUGCCAGGUGGUAUGUUAUGUGCGUGGCAUGUAUCCGUUGCCCCAUUUGACUUCAUUUCCUAAGAGAUAAGUGUUAUUGUACCCAUUUUCACCCAAGGUUUGUGGGUUAAAUCACCUUGCUAAGGUAUCAGGUGAGUGUGGAAUAAAGUUUGGAGUUGUGGCACCAACUCCAUCACCAACAACUGCAGCGGAGGCUAGGCUACAUGCAGAAGGUCGUGUCAGGACACCACUGCAGAGCCCAGGAAAAGGAACACUUCAUUAAUUCACACAGGGGAGCCUGUCCUAGACAAGCCUGAAGUUCAGCCGGAGCUAGGUAGGGAGACCCUCCUCCCCAAACCUACAACAGACAAACCAAUAAAACACUAAAGGGUCCUCACAGGCUGAUUAAGAGGCAGGUGACUUCAGAAGGAGAGGCGGGGUCAGAAGGAAGCACCCGGAUGGAAUGGUGGGAGGAGCUUCAUUUCUCUUUCCGGGGCGGGGCUUAGGUUUGAGAGCUCUGGAUGCACUCUGUUAUUUUAAAGAGCGUGGUUCUUUUCUCUCAGUUUGCAGCAGGGCAUUCUUAAGCCAUCCUCUUAAGCCACAGAGGGUUCCCGGGCAUGGAUGGAGCCCCAGGCCUGUAUGAGUUUAGCCCCAGGUCCUCACAGCAUCCUGCCUGCGGCAGCCCAGCAACACGGCCCCAAGAAUGGAGUGUGGCUCCAGUGGUCUCACCUGCAGGCAGCGAUCCAUUUCUCUCUGACUGACACCGCAGAGCCUGGGUGCUGGAACCCCAGCCCCAGCUGGAGCUGUUGCUUCUACAUUCCCUGAUCUCUCCUCUGCAAGCAGAGGCAGUAGCAUGGGGGAAGAGAGGGCCUGAAAUCCUGGUACUUCCUAGCGACUGUAUCAGCUGGAUGGAGUUUUCCGCUCAUUCUGUAUUGGCCUCUGUGUCUGGCUGUGUGGUCAGUCUCUACUGUGGUAGCCUCGGGCUUUUCCUCUGAAAAUAACUAGCAACGAGCCAUAAAGCGACCCGUGACUCACUGUCGUUAAGCCGAUGAAAUCUUAUUGAAUAGCCAAGUGUUAAGGCUUGCACGAGUAGAAUUCAGUCACAGUUGUGGCGGGCAAGAUAGAGAGCAGAAAAAAGAGAGAGCCACCCAGUUGUUGGCAUCCUGGGGGCUGUUAGGAUAAGCCAGUGGCAGCAAGACAUCUUUUCCAGGAGUGUCUAUGACCAAGAUAGACUUGUGGGAUUGUAGGAGAGAUGGGGGUAAGUCACAAAGGGCACAUUUGCUGUAGUCAGCCCCAGAGAUGUUCAUAUUUUCAAGGAAACACCUUGUGUUUGAGUUUUACUGUGCAGCCCACUGCCCAGGGACCUUCUUAGAAGGUGGGCUUAGGUCCAGUGGUCUGGGUGGGGCUUGAGUUUGUGUGUUUGUAACAAGCUUUUAGGAAUAGCUAUUGCCGCCACUGGGCUGAAGACACCUGGGGAACAUGUAGCCAAGAAGAAGAGAGUAGGGUCCUCCCGGAAACAAAGACUUGACUCAAGUGUGACUCCCCUUACAUUUAAAUGUCUUGAUGAAAACAUCCUGACAUGCUUCUGCUGUGGGAAGGAGAAGAACCUAGGAUUCAUGGCUUCUGCUGAGGACAGCCAAGGGCUGCUGAAGGGCAAGGCCAGCAGAAAGACCCAGGGAGUGCCCAGGACCUUAUGAUCCACACAGCCUGUUCAGCACCAGCCAGUUACUGCUGUGAUCCUGUCAUCAUGUGGCAUCCUUCCCCAGAGGACACCUGGUGGCCUCAUUGAGGUGGAAGGAGUGACCAGCAAUCUGCUCCCCACCCCCAUCCUCGACCUGGGCAUAGCUGUCAGCCAACAGUCUGCGGAGAUAGGCACUCUCAAUUCCUGAGACAUCAGUGUCCAAUCGUGUCUUGAGUUACUCUUUGGUGAUGUCUGGAAGGUGAGUCCUUGGCAGUCAAAAGGUCGGUCCUCAGGGUAAGAUUGAGCAAGCAGUGGUGCAGUAGGAGUGUAAGGAUGGAGACAAUGUUACAUGCUAGCACUGUGGACCCUGGGGCCAAAGCAGACCACACAGGCCCUCUUGCUUACCCUUAUAUACUCUUAUCUGCAAAGCUCAUCCUCUUUUCAGUCUGAAGAAAGGGAGGGCCUGCAUCCAGGUUCAUGCAUUUGUCACAGAUGCCAAAUCACAAGGGCCCGUGCCAUAAAUCCCCCAAGAAAUCUAGAAGGUCCAGGCUGUUGAUGUCUAACCUGUCUCCUGCCUCAGCUCAGGGGACCAGGAAAUUAUCCCUGAGAAAUGGUGCUCAGGUUUCUGGGCUGAGUGGUGAUCAGGCACUGCGUCUUGAAUCUAGAGGUUCUUCCAGACCAGAGUGUGUGACCUAUCAUAAUUACCUAGAUACCUGAUGCCACCCACUUUGUCCUUACUGCCUAGGGAGAGUCAUACUGCACAGUGACCUCUGAGCCCUAGGCCAGAAGGCCCUGACACUUUUGUCCUUCUACCCCCAGGGAACAUCCGACAGAGUCUGCAGGUGUUUUUGGCUGUCAACCCUUAGUCAUGUGAGUCUAGUGGAUAGUGGCCAAGGAUGCUGACAGAUUCCUACCAAGGCACAGAACAGAAUGACUCAGCCCUAACUGGGGAGAAGCCUUGCUCUAAAUAAGUAUUUCUGGGGUUCAGGGCUAGCCUGGGGGAACUGGUGCACAGGCAGCAUGGCUGUGUCUUUGCAGACAGCUUACUGCAAGGUGAGACCCUGGGGCCUCAUGCCUCCCCUUUCAGUGACAGUCAAUGAGUGUCCUCUCUUCCAUCUGGCCUUGUUAUUUGCUUUACAGGCUGUUCAUCUGAUGUCCAGGUGGCUUUAAUAGGUGGCUGUGACCUACAGGAAGCAGGGAAAAGGGAGAACUUCCUCACGUUACAUUUGGUGGUGCAUAUCCGUGAACUUCAGCCUUACCUGAGAGUCAGCACAGGUAUUGUGCUGAACCAGCCAGUGCAGCUCUGGAUAGUGGCUGAGACCUCAGGAAGGGAGGUCACCUUUCUGUUCUAAGCUUCCCUGCCUUCAAGAGGCAUGGAAGCCAGUGUACUACCCAUGCAGAGAUUAGAAUGGCGCAGAUAUUCAGAAUACUAGUUCUGGCAUAAGCACCCCAAACCUUGAUCAUCUGCUUUAUUCUCUUACCUCGAGUGGGCUGAGCAGGAAGAGCAGUCAUGUCUCCAAGCAGUGUCCAGGAGCUGACCAAAUGGAACACAGCAGACUUGGCAGAGAGUGGGUCAGGAUCUCAAGAGAAGCAGCUCUCUGAAGCUUGAUUGACUGCAGAAAGAAGAGUACAAAGACAUUGUGGUCGACACAUCCAUUGUUUAUGCAGGCUCAGAUGGCCGAAGGUUAGAGUCUUUCCCUCUCUAACUCCUAUGAGUAGUGAGCCCUCCCACGCUAGGGUGAGGCCUAUGGACAGAACUGAGAUGAACAGCCCUAGUCAUGAGAAGAAGCACGGCUGUGUAAAGGAUAUGUGGGCUGUGAGAAAGGUCAAAAGGGCGAUCCCAAGCAGUUCAGUGUAGGUAUGGAUAGAGCCAAGCUGCGGCUUAAGGCUCCCCACCCCAAAUUCAUCAGCCCAGCCCAGUCUGUCUUUUCAUAGUCACAGACUUGGAGUUGUGCAUGGUUCUAUGGGAGUUCUUAGCACCAGUUGCUCCGUCCCACGUCCACCCUGGUUACUCUUUACAAACCAUCCCUUUCCUGGGCUUUGGUUGGAUCAGUCAGGUGGCUGGACCAUGACAUCUUCUUCCUAUCACCACACUCUUCUGCUCACAAGCACACAGUCAUUCAACAUGUGGACAAUUCAAACACAUUUACUUAGAUAACUCACCUAUGCACAGGAACUCAUUCACAUACACACAUUCACUCCUGAACACACACAUGCACUCAUAUAACACAUUCUUGGUUGUAUUUGUAUUAUGUGUACACACAUACACACACACACACACACACACACACACUCCUACCUUUGGCUGACCAAAACUUCAGAAAGCAGCUUUGAACAAAUACCGGCAUCAUUGAUAUUUUUCAGCUUCCUCUGGUGACCCCGUAGAUGAAGAGAUUGUAUUUGAAUGCUAGGGGCUGUGCCAUUCUGCAUAAUCAAUUUUUCUGGUUGUCUGUAAACUCACAAGAACCCCCACAUGGUUUUGUUCCGUGGUUUUGUUUUGUUAUAGCAAGCCGCUGAAAUUUGGCAACACAAUAGCCAUCUUUUGAAUUGUACAGGUUCAUGAGCAUUGAAGACAGAGUUUCCUUGAGACUUGAAGGACUUGGGGUGAGACACAUGUGGUACUGGGAUUCAGCUCUGAAUGCCAUUUAUAGGCCUUGCAAGUUUCUGGCCCUGGGUUAACCUUGAUGGUCUGUCAUUUAACCUGCCUGUAGACAUGCAGACAGCCAUAUUUACUUUGGUGAGAUGUCUUUGAGAGCUGGGAUUCCUGUGGCUGAGCUCUCAGGCUUCAGGGGUGAUGUUCUAUAGGAGACUCUGCCAGAAUGUGUCUGUGAUAUAGGUGUGAUAGGGUGGGUAUUUUAUGAUAGAAUUCCCUUUGUUGAGUGGAGCAAAUCUUCCAGAAGGGAAGAAAAUCCUGUACUCAGCAUAUUGGGCUUCUGGUGGCAUUCAAGGCAAAGAAGAUUUGGAUGAAUUGUCAGACAGUCACAAACGCAUGCAGGCUCAUGCUGGGCCUCUGAUAUCCCCAGAGUCCAUGGAAAGAGAAGAACCAGCAGGCUAGUUAAACCAGCGAGCAGGAAGCUUUGAGGACUGAGUCAGGUGAGGAUAGCAAGAACUCUGUUGUAGAAGGUUCUGUGGCUCCUGGGGCUAUGGCUGCACUCAUUUUUUAAAAACAGGAUCAUGUUCAGGCACCUUAGGCAAAGCCAGACCACCGCACACAACCCAAACCUCAGUGGCUGCCUGAAUAGAACGGAGGCCACUUAAUUCCCUUCCUUCUCCUUCUCUCAUGUAGAAUACCAUGAAUGCAGCUCUAAGGCAUACCCAGGACCAGACGAAGAAAACAGAGAGCCAAAAAAGCCCUGGUACUCCGUCUCCUGGGUCCGUUCAGCCUUUGUAAUGAUUAAUUAAUCACAAGUUAGUAAACAAUAACCAUGAAGCAAUAGGGAAGGCAGACUGUGUCUUCUAGUGAUUGUAAACAUGUUCAACAGAAAUUCGUCCAAAACAGAACUACCUGCCUACAUCAAGCCAAGUGCUCAACAGGACAUGGCAAAGCCACAGAGGACCAGGUGUCGUAUGCUUCUCUGGGGAUGCAGAUACUUUUGGGGAGCCAGGGCACAUCUCAAGAAAAUCACUGCUACACCCCCAGUGACUGUGGUAUUAGGUUUUUGGCCAUCCAGCCAAGUUCCAGCAGACUACUAGACUGGGAAGCCAGCUAAUUAGGAAUAUCUUCUUCCUUCUUCCUUAAGAGAAAUCCCGGCUAGGCAUACAGCGUCUUCCAGAUAUCCAGGAAGGAGAUUUUUAAGAAAGUCAGUUCAUGCAAAUGAAACAAGAGGAUUUCCUUCUUUUUGUUCCAAAUCUUGGAAUCUGGGGACUGUAUUGUCAUAAGAAAGGGCCAUGACACUUUUGUUCCAAGACAUUAAAUAGUCACAUUAACUGGGCAAGCUCACCCCUACAUCCAUGUGCAUCUGGUAGAAACUGGGUCUUUGACAUCCCCUGCUUCCCUUGGGACCUUUCUUAGGCCAAAUCUCCAAGCCAAUGCCAUCUCUGGUAUGUCCCUCCCUAAUAACCUACAAGCUAUGUUGAGCCUUGAUAAUGAUCUCUGCUUUCCUCCUGUGACAACUGUCAACAUUUUUUCUUCUCUGCUUCCUCUCAAGAGAAGCCACUUACUUUUAAAGAAACAGUUUCCUGCUAUGUCCCAAGCUAUCUCUGAACUUGCUAUGUCCUAGGGUUGCAGGAGUGUCCACCUUGCCCUGCUUUGGCCCUUUAACUUCAGAGCAUGCUCCAAGGUUCCAUGGUACCUUACUGUUUCUUUAUCUUCUUUUCCUUCAGUGCCUUAAUUGAGAGCAAAUCUCUCCUUGUCUCUCUGGGGGCCUGAAACACGGUUGUUAUAAGGAAUAAUUCUCAACUGGGGAGAUGAAAACAAGCAUCCAUUCAAGGCAGGUCUUGGCUAUAUACCUCGUAAUUGUGUCACUUCAGGUGGAUGGUUUGACAUCCCUGAGCUUAACUCUUGUGUUAGAAUCAUAUAGAUGUUGCCAUUAGAGGGAGACACGGUCAAUGCAUGUCACAGUGACUGGUACACAGCGGCGGCUGUGAUUCUAACAUGCCAUCUUCAUUUCUUUGCACGCACACAACUCGUACUAUUAAAGUUAAUCUUGCUCCCUAUCUGCCACUCUACAAAUGUGAUUUAUGAGCCGGCACCUGGCUCACCACAUUCAAUAAGUCCAAUCUCACUGAAUAUGCUUCCAGCAGUGUUUAUGAUAUGUCUGCUCUUUCUGAUGUCUAGAUACAGUGACCGAAGCAGAGAUUAGGAAGGUGAACCAAGAUUCCUGGAGGACACCUCUGGCACCCUUUGCCCUCACCUCUGGCACUGGUCUCUGAUUAUUUGUUUAUCUCAUAGCACCUGAUCCAUCAAAAUGAUGUCCUUGGCAGUAGCAGGAUAUACCUGGGUUGGGAAAGGAGGGCCAUGAACUUGCUAUUCGGGAGAUUGUCCUGCUGGCUAAGGGCGGGGGUAGUGGGUAACAGGUAGGCUUAGGAGAACUGGACAUGCUUGGUUGGACUGUACUCUCCAUUUCUAUGGAACCACUUGACCUCAGUCCAGGGUGGGGCAGGCCUUGCAGGAUAGGAAGUGAGUUGAGGAAGAGCGGCUUAUGCUGAGGCUCUCCCAGAAGGUGUCUUUCCAUGGUAAACCUGCAUGUUAAGAAAUACUCUUCCUCUAGAUGCAAGAAUAUGACUAAGCUAUGAUGGAUGCAGAGCAACAGGCAAUGAUACGUCCAUGGUCCUCUAGGUGCCCGAAGUCCAGGCAGAUGAGGGAAGCUAGCAAGAACCCUGGUCCUGCCAGGCAUCUGACAGUGCCUGGAUGCUGACUGACAAGGACAGGACAUGGAGAGAUGGAGCUUGAGGCAGGGUUGGGUUUUUCCAAGUAUAGGAUACAGUCACAUGAUAUGGAGGGAAGAGAUGGAAGAGUCAGGACCAUACUGAAAACUAAAAUUUGGGCCAUAUGUAUAGAAGGGAGAGGGGAAGUAGGGAUGGUAUGGAAGAGAAAUCACACCGUAACUAUGAAAGCCAGCCCCUGGAAGGUGUGGAUGUAACCCACAGGAUGCUGGGGGUGUCUUGGAGAAGCAAAAACAAACCAACAAAUCAAACUAGGGUUACAGGUCUGGGUUCAAGUCCUGACAAGUGGGAACUGGCCACUCAUUUGUGACUAAGUCACUGAACUCUCAACUCCCUGUUUCCCAUCCUUGGAACCGGGGUCAUAGUAUCGUCCAUGAGAUUCCAUGGAGCAAGUCAAGAAUUGAGUUUGUAAUACUGGGAUUCACCAUAUUGCAGCCAUGGGAUCUGACUAGGCAUGGCUUUCUUGACUUGCCUCUGGCCUAGCUCUGCUUUGGAAACAGAUUUUUUUUUUGGACAAGAAAAUGUCAUGGUAACAUCUGGUUCUUUUCCUGAUGUUUUAUAAGGCAAAUAGUCCUUUCCAAGUGAACAACUCGGGUUUCAAUGGUAAACUGAGGCACAGAGAACCUUCUAGGCUUGACUGGGUCUUAGAUUACAUCAUAUGUGAGUGCUCCAUCUGCAAACUUGGGGGUCUGUGGCUGAAUAUACACGAGGAGCAUGUGGGCCCCGCUGGGGACAAGAUCUUGACCCAGCAAAGGAAGUCCAGGGAGGAGAGUGGCUGGAAUGCCAAUCCUCAUUGUCCAUAAGCAACCCAAGAUCUCCUGAUAUUGGCCAUCCAGGAUCUUUGGUCUCCACCAUGGUAAUUGACUCUGGCACCCAUCACUGCCUUAGCCUGCCCCUCGUUGAGACUCAGGCUGGUGAGCUGCUUGCACCCCACUGUAGAGGACCAUUUGGAGGGUUUGAAGAGGUGUUGGUAUGUGUCGUGGGUCUUUGUCUCUUCUGUCUUGGGAUCCUCUUUCUCUCCUUAAUGGCUGAGUGCUUGAAGCAAGCCUGAGUCAGUCUCCACCAUUCCAGAACUUCUUUGCUGGGCCUGACUUAGCAUCCUUCUUCUAAGGGACCCUUUAAUUUGGAGUCUUGUCCACCCCAUCCCCGUCCGUCCCUCCCUCCAUCCCUCUUUCCCUCCCCCCACUCUUUCUUGUACUUGCUUGUGUACAUACUGUGUCCCACCAUCCUUCCCAUAGCUCUCUAGCUCCUUCUCCCAAUCUCUUGUCUAAUCUCACCCCACUGUGAUCCCCAGCACUCCGCCUGCAGGAUGGGAGCUGGGAGGCGGUGACUAAUGUGCUCGGAGGUGAGUCAUCUGCUAAAUAUAAAACCCACUCACAUCCCUGGAUGCAAAAAUCCUGAGACUCCGCAUCCUUCUCCAUCCUCCCUCCCUCCUGAGGGCGGGGCAGGAGGAGUUUUACUCUGCACAGAAAACAAGUAAACACCACCACCACCACCACCACCACCACCACCACGAAGCUGCAGUGGUACCAGCAUCUUCCCUGUGUCCUUCAGCUCUGUCCUGUCAGGGCAGCCGAUGUCCCUGGUCUAUGUAGGUACUCUGGGGAGGAGGAGUAAGAGAGAGCCUUGACUCCUGAACCACUGAGCAGUUAAAGAGGCAGGCAUUUCUUUACGAUCCCCCUCUUCUCAGCUUCUGCCCUUUUGUGUCAAGAAGCUCAAACUGUCCCUUGUCCUCAAAGGUACUCAGCCUCCAAACACAGGCAUGCGUGGCAGACUAGGGCACACGCCCACAUGCAGGAUUGAAAUGCAGGGUUUGCAUAUAGGGGGCCAGGACAAGUAACACCUACUUCUUACAUACAGUUGGAUUCUUUCUAGGGCUCAUAGCUAGUGUCUUCAGCUUCAGGUUCUUCUGUAUGGACAGACAUCACACACACACACACACACACACACACACACACCUCCAUAUAUGUAUGGUAUCUUUGACUUUAUCAUGAACACAUAUAUGCAACAUCCUCUAUGUAUUUAGUAUUUGAUAUUGCCUUUGUGUCCGGUGGUCUUUUCACCAUUUUGCUGGAAUGUUCUUAUACUCCUUUGCGAUGCAGCCCCUCAGUGUUCUCGCUUUACAGAUGUGGAGCCCAAAGUUAUGCAGUUAUGCAAGAGCUAAGACAGCUGUCCCAAAGGGCAAUGCCAGGACUGACUGAACCUAUGUGCCUCGCCUACAGGCUAAGCUAGUGCUUUUCAGACUUCUGUGAAACCAACAGAUGCUAACAAAGAUAUCUGUGUCUCAGCGUGUGUGUCCACAUGUGCUUACAUAUAAAACACAGCUUGAAGGAGUAGCACUAACCCUGACCACCUUCAAAUUUCAUCUCUCCUAUGAAUCCCAUGCUAUGCGAAUCUACCCUACUCUUCCAAAGCUAAUCUCUUUCUGAUUUCGCUUUAACAGUGCCAGUGCCCUUCAAGUUUGUUCUGUGCCCCUCUGAGCCCAUGAAAACCAUUGUGACAUCAGAGCGUGAUCACGGCUUCAGUGGAUGGUGUGAGUGCCGAGUCCUGCUCCUAAGAGAACAGAUUUCCUCUGUGGCUUUAGACAAGUGUCUUGACUUCUCUGGGCUUUGUCUUCAUAGAACCUGUUUGCCAUGGGGUCUUACAGGAUAGCUGGAGGCCCAGAUCCUCCCAGACUUAGAUAAGGUGGCCUCCUCAAGUGUGAUUUGGCACUCACACGGUGUGCAUGGGAUGCAGGGAAAACCCAACAGAUGGCCUGGCAGUGUCCACUCUGGCUCCAGGGUGCACUUCUCCCUGCAGCCCAGGGCAUGAGGAUGACCCCGUUUCCAGCCUGGGGGGCAUUUGAUCUGAUUGAAGCUCACAUUUUCUCACGUAAAACAUCCCUUUCAUUCCUUUCCUCGUCCUAUUUUUCUGCUUCUCAUACUUAAUCCCUUUUGGAUUUGGGAAAGACCAAGACAAGACCCCUUUGAUUGAGCUUAAGAGUUUAUAUGCGCAGAGAGACGCAGAGAUGGAGUCAUGGAUCAGAAUCAUCUCUCCAAAUGGACAGCACCUGUGUUCCGAUCUCUGCUGGGUCACUGAGAGGCUGUGUGAGUGGAGAGCCGACAUCUGCCCUGCCUGGGCAUGGUCAGACAGGCGGCACCUGGACGGGUCUCAUCCUGAAUACACCUUCUAGGAAAUGAGAGGAUACAACUGAGACAGGAAGGAGAGGACUAGCGUCAGGGAGAACCUCCCAACGAAGGGCCUAAGAGUUCGGGAGGGUAGGAAAUACUGUGUUUUUAAUAAUUCAGGGAGCCUGCCAGUCUUCAAAACCUGGCCACGCUUACUUGGUCAUUGCCUCCCAACCUUCUGCAGUGGCUUGUCUGGGAGGGGGUUGGUUGUGGGAGAUCUGCCAACAACAACAACAAAGAACUGUCAUAGCAGGACACCCAGGGGCAUUGCCUGGUGUUACCAAUGAGAUUCAGAGGAGGUUUGGCUUGCUUGGAUCUCACAGAGAAUCAGAGCCUCGGAACUAUCAUGCUUGCUAUGUCCACGAUCCUAAAGGUCAGGCCAGCUCUGACCCUAGGGACAGUCUGGGAGUGUAUCCCAGCCCUCUACCUCUCUGACAUGGAAUGAGCCAGUGGAAGGAUGGUUCCUCUCUCCCAACCUCCCAUCAUCCCAGGUCAGCCCUGGCCAGGUAAAUGGCCAGGGCUCCUGUACGUAGUAGUCAGCUUCUUGUGUCUGUAACGAAACAGCCGAGGAAGGCUAACUUUAUAAAGAAGAGAAGUUUAUUUGACUCCCAGUUUUAGAGCUUUCAAAAUCUGAAAAGCAUGACACAGGCUCUGGUGAAGAGCGCAUGGCAGAUGGCGGGAGUAUGAGGGGGAGGAAGGAUCGCACCUCAGACAGAGUGCGAUGGAGCUGGGCUUUUAUAACAACCUUCCCACAACAACUAACCAGAGACCCACGAGAAACUUCUCAGUGCUUCUAAGGAAGGCACAUCAGCAUGGACCUGGAGGUCCUCUGCUAGAAACAGCCCCAUUUUUGCAUGUGUGCAUUAUGUGGCCUGUGUGCCUACAUGUUUGCACGUAUGCGAGUGAACACAUGGAUAAUAUGCAUGCAUGUGCAGGCCAGAGGGGAUGCUGGGUAUAUCUUCCUUGAUGGACCCCUAUCUUAUGUAUUAAGGCAAGGUUUCUCACUUGAACCCAAAGCUUGCCCAUACACAUAGUCUAGAUAGCCGGUCCUCUUCAGGGACGCCCCCCAUCUGCCUCCAGAGUGCUGGGAUUAUUUACCCAGUGUCUCUGUGGGUGCUUAGGGUUUGGACUGUGAUGCUCAUGCUUGCUCAAAAGCACUUGUCCUAUAGAGCUGUCUCUCUAGCCCCUAGAUUCCUACCUCUCGGUGAUGGUUUGUAUGUGUUUGGCCCAGGGAGUGGCACUAUUUGGAGGUGUGGCCUUGUUGGAAUAGGUGUAUCAUUGUAGGCAUGGGCUUUAAUACCCUAGUCCUAGCUGCCCGGAAGCCAGUCUCCUCAUAUGAAGCCAGCCUUCAGAUGAAGAUGUAGAACUCUCAGCUCUGCUUGCACCAUGCCUGCCUGGAUGCUGCCGUGUUCUUGUCUUGAUGAUUAUGGGCUGAACCUGUAAGCCAGCCACAGUUCAGUGCUGUUCUUAUAAGAGUUGCCUUGGUCAUGGUGUCUAUUUACAACAGUAAACCUCUAAGACACUGUUAAAGGUGCCCCAGUCCUUCUCAACCCUGCCACCCUGCAGACCAAAGUCCCACCACACAAUUCCCUGGACAUCAAGUAACAGGUCUCCGCGCCUGUUUCUCUAAAGCACAGCUUCCCUUAGAGGGAGGCUUUGCAGAUCAGCAUCCCCUGGUCUCUGGUAGGGAUGACGACAGAACUGUCAGGCUGGCGACCUUUGCCCUCCACUCUUAUCUGGAAGAAAGGAAGUCCUGAGGGUGUCUUGGUAUGCCGAGGCAUGUAGGAUGAGAUUUUUUUUUUCCUUGUGCCUAGGUGCCUCCCCCUCCCCCUCGCACCCCAUCAGAAAUCACUUGGAACCUAAUUUUGUAACUGAAUUCACACUCUGAGAAAGCCUUUGAGGAGUCAUCUUGCUUCCUCUACUCUGAGAAAACCCAGCCCCAGCUGAUGACCAGACCCUCUGAAGACACAGAACACCGUGCUAUCCGAGAGCCACAGUGGACUCUGGGGACCUCCUUUUUUCCUCUAUCCCUGAGGCAGAGGCUAUUGCCAUCUUUGUCAGGGACAGGGGAGGGAUGUCCCUGAGUUCUCCUUGCAGAAAGGAAAGGAGUGCCAUGGACCGUCACACUGCAGCAAGCAAGGCCUGCAUUUCUAGAGGCUUCAGAGAGCUCAUUUUGAGAAAGGAGCAGGCAUGCCUCUGUUUUCAUCACCCAGAUGACAAGGAUUGGACACCUUUGAUGUCCACUCCACCCCACCCCACACUCUUUCAAAAUGCAUUUGCUCACAAUGUCAGGCCAGUGUUUCAGGAGAGAGGUGGGCACCUCAGUGCUCCUGCCCAUCUGACCCAUGGUAAUGGCACACAGACAUACUGCCUGCUCUCCCACCCUGUCCCUUCCUUUCUGUUCUGCAGAACCUAUGUAUGGACUUCUCAUUAUUUCAAGCAAGAGAACCUUGUGGAAACUUCCAGUGCCACAGAGGCGGGAGCAUGAGCUUGCAAAGCCUUCUCUGCAGUCGCUGCCGCAGGGACAGCUCUGUUGGCCCAAGCUCAGGUCAGAACAGGCACCAGGGAUGGAGAAGCUAGGUUCCCUGAGGGAGAAAGGCCAGUCAGUGCAGAGGAAAUGGCUCUGUGGCAGGAUAGAGUGGCCUUGCUCAGUGGGAGCCCCUAACCAUAUGACUAGGUACCUAUUACCACUCUAUCAUCUGGGAACAAAAGCUGCUCCUGACUCUAGAGGCAGCGACCAAGAAGUGAGGGCUCUCUGGGUCUGUGACAAAUUAUGUCAUUGUCCUUGACCUAACAGUGAAGUCACCUACCUCUCAGCCACUAAGUGGCAGAAACGUGCCUGACUAGGCCCUCCAUUCUCAGGACAUCUGACCUCUCUGCCACUUUGACCUUCACGAGAGCCCAGCUGCCUGCACUCACCCAGGCUAUCUGCCGAGGUCCCUGUCCUUGGCCUCUGCUGAGCCCUGCCCCCUUCCACAUCUGAAUGAGCUAGGGUCUGAGGGAUACCGCGCUGGAAGAGAGACCAGCCUGAAGCUUUUCCCUUUAGGUCUGAGUUAGUCCUCCCAAACCCUUGAAAGGGAGCAGCUGAGGGCAUAUUUUACUUCAGGCACACAGUCUAGUUUUCUUUAUACCCACCCUUGUCAUUUCUGGACAGUGGAGCAGCCAGAAUUGAAUCUCUAGGAGCUGGGAGAAAGGGUAUAGAGGUGACUUCCAAAGAGCAAUAGAGACUAGAACUCCCCGAGUGUGGCAGAUUGCAGAGAGCUGGGUGACAGCAUCGCCCUCCCCCUCUACCUCCACCUCCAGAGAUGAGGUAAGGGGCCUUCCCAGAUGCUAGCUCCUUCCAUCCCAUCUGAGGGAAUGAAGGGCCUGAAUGUGCUCAGGUCCCUGGUCAGAUUAGAGAUUGACUUCGAGCAUUAAAAGAGGUAAGACGUUUGGCAGUCAGUGGUGUUUGUAUGUUUCAACCUCCCCCGGUGUUCAACUGCCACCUCUAAGUCUCAGACUUCAUGCCUUCCCAAAUCCCUAGUCUCACGGUGGGCAGAAGCCAGACGGCCUGCCUGGGUUGCAAUCCCAGCCCAGUCACAUUCCAGUGGAGUGCCUAUCAGCUGGUUAACUAGCCAUUCUUAUUCUCAGUCCCUUGACCUAUAAAUGCAGCAUCACUGUGUUCAUCGCCUGCCUUGAGAUGCCUGAGGGACCAGCUGAAGUGAGACAAGGACACAGGCACCCAGGACAGUUCACUGGCCCAGCCAGACAACACAUGCUACUAAUCCACGCCUCAGCAGCUUCCUGGUUGGUUAUCCUGCCUCCUUCUGUAGGAAGCAGCAACGUGUAGGAGCUGACUCAACACUACCUCUCCAUUUUGGUGACAUUGCUUGGAAUCAAAACAUGGAGAGGGCUUCAGUGCUUUGGUUAGGGGAUCCCGCUGCCUCAACAACAGAAUAUGUAAGGCUCACUUCAGCGCCCAACACACUUAGGGUUAGGACCCAAGAUGUCCAUUUCAUAACCCCACCCCACCCCUGCCCCAUUUAGUACCUAUGUAGCAGUCCCUGAGCUGGACGGAUAUUGGCAGAGCAAUUUAACAUUUCCCUCAGCCUGAUGCCCAAGGUGCCUUUGCAGCUAGGGCGACAGAGCGGCUGGUGUUGCCUUGAAAAUAUGGGACACAUCUGCCCCCUCGUGGCAGGGUCA